rnacentral:rRNA from 1 species
CGCGGCCUAUCAGCUUGUUGGUGGGGUAAUGGCCUACCAAGGCUUCGACGGGUAGCCGGCCUGAGAGGGUGACCGGCCACACUGGGACUGAGACACGGCCCAGACUCCUACGGGAGGCAGCAGUGGGGAAUAUUGGACAAUGGGCGGAAGCCUGAUGCAGCAACGCCGCGUGAGGGAUGACGGCCUUCGGGUUGUAAACCUCUUUUAGUAAGGAAGAAGGGGAGCUUGCUCCUUGACGGUACUUGCAGAAAAAGGACCGGCUAACUACGUGCCAGCAGCCGCGGUAAUACGUAGGGUCCGAGCGUUGUCCGGAAUUAUUGGGCGUAAAGAGCUCGUAGGCGGUUUGUCACGUCUGCUGUGAAAUCCCGAGGCUCAACCUCGGGCCUGCAGUGGGUACGGGCAGACUGGAGUGCGGUAGGGGAGAGUGGAAUUCCUGGUGUAGCGGUGGAAUGCGCAGAUAUCAGGAGGAACACCGAUGGCGAAGGCAGUUCUCUGGGCCGUAACUGACGCUGAGGAGCGAAAGCAUGGGGAGCGAACAGGAUUAGAUACCCUGGUAGUCCAUGCCGUAAACGUUGGGCGCUAGAUGUGGGGACCUUUCCACGGUUUCCGUGUCGUAGCUAACGCAUUAAGCGCCCCGCCUGGGGAGUACGG